GACAGAGGCCUCAAGCGUUAGGCGGAAUCACUGGGCUUAAAGCGUGUGUAGGCGGAUCGUUAAGUGUCUUGUGAAAUCCCACGGCUCACCCGUGGAACUGCUGGGCAUACUGGCGAUCUUGGGCCAACUAGGGGCAACUGGAACAAGCGGUGGAGCGGUGAAAUGCGUAGAUAUCGCUUGGAACGCCAAAGGGUGAAAACAGGUUGCUGGGGUUGUGC
rnacentral:rRNA from 1 species